UACGAAGGGGGCUAGCGUUGCUCGGAAUCACUGGGCGUAAAGGGUGCGUAGGCGGGUCUUUAAGUCGGGGGUGAAAGCCUGUGGCUCAACCACAGAAUGGCCUUCGAUACUGGGACGCUUGAGUAUGGUAGAGGUUGGUGGAACUGCGAGUGUAGAGGUGAAAUUCGUAGAUAUUCGCAAGAACACCGGUGGCGAAGGCGGCCAACUGGACCAUUACUGACGCUGAGGCGCGAAAGCGUGGGGAGCAAACAGG
rnacentral:rRNA from 1 species